rnacentral:rRNA from 1 species
AGAGUUUGAUCAUGGCUCAGAUUGAACGCUGGCGGCGUGCUUAACACAUGCAAGUCGAACGAGAAAGGGACUUCGGUCCUGAGUAGAGUGGCGCACGGGUGAGUAACGCGUAGGUAAUCUACCUCUGCAUCUGGGAUAACACUUCGAAAGGGGUGCUAAUACCGGAUACACUUAUGGAYCGCAAGGUYUAUAAGGAAAGGAGACCUCUCCUUGGAAGUUUCUGUGUAGAGAUGAGCCUGCGUCCCAUUAGCUAGUUGGCAGGGUAAWGGCCUACCAAGGCGACGAUGGGUAGCGGGUCUGAGAGGAUGAUCCGCCACACUGGAACUGAAACACGGACCAGACUCCUACGGGAGGCAGCAGUGAGGAAUAUUGGACAAUGGGCGCAAGCCUGAUCCAGCGACGCCGCGUGAGUGAUGAAGGCCUUUGGGUCGUAAAGCUCUGUCAGCAGGGAAGAACGGCCGUGYGGUUAAUACCCRUGCGGAUUGACGGUACCUGCAGAGGAAGCACCGGCUAACUCCGUGCCAGCAGCCGCGGUAAUA